rnacentral:rRNA from 1 species
UACGUAGGGGGCAAGCGUUAUCCGGAUUUACUGGGUGUAAAGGGAGCGUAGACGGCAGCGCAAGUCUGGAGUGAAAUGCCGGGGCCCAACCCCGGAACUGCUCUGGAAACUGUGAAGCUGGAGUGCAGGAGAGGCAGACGGAAUUCCUAGUGUAGCGGUGAAAUGCGUAGAUAUUAGGAGGAACACCAGUGGCGAAGGCGGUCUGCUGGACAGCAACUGACGCUGAGGCGCGAAAGCGUGGGGAGCAAACAGG